CGACAACCGGCGCCUGUGUCCCUUCAUAGUUUGGCAAUCGUGCCUAAACUAUUUAAGGUGCUUGCGUGCUUGUACCAAUCUCACUGGAAGUUGCAAUUGAUUAUUGUUGCCUUUGUUGUGCAUGCCCUUAGGGUGUUGCACAUCGACCUGAAAGCAUUCAUGGGGUUGCCUCUUGUUGCUGGCCUAAGCGGCUUCAUUCACCAAGGCCACCUUGUGUAUGCUUUUGGUCUAGGAUGUGGCUAAACUUAAAGGGCGAAGGUGCUUUCACCCCUUUGGCCUAUAAUUGAUUGUCCCUUUGGAAACAAAAACGUUGGGCCUCGUUGAUGCCCCCUGGGGACGGCUUGACCCUGCUUGUCGAGGAGGAAGUGCUACCCGGUUGAACCCGCCCGUAG
rnacentral:misc_RNA from 1 species